GGGGCGAAAGCCUGAUCCAGCCAUGCCGCGUGUGGGAAGAAGGUCUUCUGA
rnacentral:rRNA from 1 species